rnacentral:tRNA from 2 species
GGUCCAGUGGUGUAGUGGUUUAACAUGCCUCCCUGUCACGGAGGAGAUCGCGAGUUCGAUCCUCGUCUGGACCGCCA